rnacentral:rRNA from 1 species
GACGAACGCUGGCGGCGUGCUUAACACAUGCGAGUCGAACGGAAAGGCCCUGCUUUUGUGGGGUGCUCGAGUGGCGAACGGGUGAGUAACACGUGAGUAACCUGCCCCUGACUUUGGGAUAACUUCAGGAAACUGGGGCUAAUACCGGAUAGGAGCUCCUGCUGCAUGGUGGGGGUUGGAAAGUUUCGGCGGUUGGGGAUGGACUCGCGGCUUAUCAGCUUGUUGGUGGGGUAGUGGCUUACCAAGGCUUUGACGGGUAGCCGGCCUGAGAGGGUGACCGGCCACAUUGGGACUGAGAUACGGCCCAGACUCCUACGGGAGGCAGCAGUGGGGAAUAUUGCACAAUGGGCGGAAGCCUGAUGCAGCAACGCCGCGUGCGGGAUGACGGCCUUCGGGUUGUAAACCGCUUUCGCCUGUGACGAAGCGUGAGUGACGGUAAUGGGUAAAGAAGCACCAGCUAACUACGUG